rnacentral:rRNA from 1 species
UCCUGGCUUCGGUCAGGUGAGAGUGGCGGACGGGUGAGUAACGCGUGGGAACCUGCCCAGUGGUGGGGGAUAACUGCGGGAAACUGCAGCUAAUACCGCAUGAGCCCGAGAGGGGAAAGAUUUAUCGCCAUUGGAGGGGCCCGCGUUCGAUUAGGUAGUUGGUGAGGUAAUGGCUCACCAAGCCGACGAUCGAUAGCUGGUCUGAGAGGAUGAUCAGCCACACUGGGACUGAGAUACGGCCCAGACUCCUACGGGAGGCAGCAGUGGGGAAUAUUGGACAAUGGGGGCAACCCUGAUCCAGCAAUGCCGCGUGAGUGAUGAAGGCCUUCGGG